rnacentral:tRNA from 1 species
GGAGAAGUCGCCUAGCUUGGUCGAGGGCGCACGAUUGGAAAUCGUGUAAUCGUUAAUAGCGGUUCGAGGGUUCGAAUCCCUCCUUCUCCGCCA